ensembl:snoRNA
UGCAGCUGUGUCAAAUUCAGUGCCUACCCAACCCGUGCCAGGCACUGGCCCAAACAGCUGCCACAGCAACAUGUGACUCAUGGGCCCUGAUCCCCUUACCUGGGCCUUGGGGAUAAAGUUGGUUACAGACAUUA